rnacentral:rRNA from 1 species
CCUACGGGUGGCAGCAGUGAGGAAUAUUGGUCAAUGGACGAGAGUCUGAACCAGCCAAGUAGCGUGAAGGAUGACUGCCCUAUGGGUUGUAAACUUCUUUUAUAUGGGAAUAAAAUGUUCCACGUGUGGGAUUUUGUAUGUACCUUAUGAAUAAGGAUCGGCUAACUCCGUGCCAGCAGCCACGGUAAUACGGAGGAUCCGAGCGUUAUCCGGAUUUAUUGGGUUUAAAGGGAGCGUAGGUGGCUUGUUAAGUCAGUUGUGAAAGUUUGCGGCUCAACCGUAAAAUUGCAGUUGAUACUGGCAGUCUUGAGUACAGUAGAGGUAGGCGGAAUUCGUGGUGUAGCGGUGAAAUGCUUAGAUAUCACGAAGAACUCCGAUUGCGAAGGCAGUUCACUAGACUGCAACUGACACUGAGGCUCGAAAGUGUGGGUAUCAAACAGGAUUAGAUACCCGAGUAGUC